AAUAGAUACCCUGGUAGUCCACGCCGUAAACGAUGAGUGCUAGGUGUUGGGGGUUUCAACACCCUCAGUGCCGCAGCUAACGCAAUAAGCACUCCGCCUGGGGAGUACGCUCGCAAGAGUGAAACUCAAAGGAAUCGACGGGGGCCCGCACAAGCGGUGGAGCAUGUGGUUUAAUUCGAAGCAACGCGAAGAACCUUACCAGGUCUUGACAUCCCACUGACCGCCCUAGAGAUAGGGCUUCCCUUCGGGGCAGCGGUGACAGGUGGUGCAUGGUUGUCGUCAGCUCGUGUCGUGAGAUGUUGGGUUAAGUCCCGCAACGAGCGCAACCCUUAUCUUUAGUUGCCAGCAUUCAGUUGGGCACUCUAGAGAGACUGCCGUCGACAAGACGGAGGAAGGCGGGGAUGACGUCAAAUCAUCAUGCCCCUUAUGACCUGGGCUACACACGUGCUACAAUGGCUGGUACAACGGGACGCAAGCCCGCGAGGGUAAGCCAAUCUCUUAAAACCAGUCUCAGUUCGGAUUGCG
rnacentral:rRNA from 1 species